CCCCAGAGCAGUGGUGUCCCAGCUCCCGGAGGCCGCUGACGAAGUUCUUGCUGCUCUGGCAGUAGACCCUGCCUGCCUCCACCAUGGCGUGGCAUUGUUUCACAAGCUGGAUGAGACAAACAUGCAACACCACGACGGUCUGAGUUCAGCUACAGAGCAGCAGCAGCACUGGAGCUGGUAAGUUUUUUUGCUCAGGGGCAAAGACGUUUGAACCCAGUUAUUCCUGUUUUUUCUAAACUCCUGCAUCUCCCUGCUGUCACAUAUAAAUCACAUUAAGAUUCUCAGGGAGUGUUAAAGGAGCCAAGUGCUUCCUCUGGAUAAGCUGUACGAGAUGUGAAGAGUCUUCAGGUUAAUGAUUCACAUUCAUUCAAUACCAUCAAGGAAGAGAAACGCAUCAUGUGACCUCUCUCAGAUGAACAGAUCUGAAACUGUAACGUGCGUGUGAGCGCAAACACACAACAGGGAAUACACGUUAUCGCAUCAAAGCAGAACAAGCAGUUGUUCUCUCCUGCUGUAGGACAAUAUGAUGGGGAAGCAGCACUUGUGGCUACUUCCUGCUUACUGUCAGGUGAAAAUAUACCUCAAAAACCUGCCCACAUCUCACUUCACGACAAUUGAUGCCUGUGAACCCUUCUGAAAGUAGAGCAGUGACUCAAUUGUUUAAAAGUGUAGGUGUGUGUGUGUGUGUGUGUGUCUCACCUUCUCCAAUCGUGUCUCGAGUUCGCUCACAUCGUUUUGGACAUCUUCGAUUUCAGCUCUGAAACGCAUACAAAUACAGACAGUUUUAACGUCGGGGUUAACACACGACUCCUUGUUUUCUGGGGAGAAAUCGGCGCUAAACAUUUUGUCAAUUUGACAGAAUUUGAAGUUAAGCGAAAGGCACGGCGAUGUUAAUGAUCGACUGCUUAUUGAAGCCAUUUAUGAGGAGAUGCUGACAGUUUUCAGACUCCUCAGGUUUUAAUUUUUACAUCACUCUACAUUUGAAUAAUUUGGAACAUUUUUUUCAAAAACUACUUUCUGACGUUUUAUACAUUAACGUUGUCUCGUUCAACACGUUUCUGUCAACUUCAGUAUUCCCCAUUUUCUUGCCAGCUGUGUGAUUCUGUGCUGCAGGUUUUAUUUUGUAGGUUACUAUAUAUCAUAAUGAUAUCCUUACAGUAUUCUUGUUUUAUUAUUUGCAUUAAGAGCUUAUAAACUUUUCCAGUAAAGACAUAACAAGUAACAACACAAAUCGAUCAGUACAAUGGAAAUAUUAUCAAAAUAUGAUAAAUAAAAAGUGUAACUGAGA